rnacentral:rRNA from 1 species
AUUGAACGCUGGCGGCAGGCCUAACACAUGCAAGUCGAACGGUAACAGGAAGAAGCUUGCUUCUUUGCUGACGAGUGGCGGACGGGUGAGUAAUGUCUGGGAAACUGCCUGAUGGAGGGGGAUAACUACUGGAAACGGUAGCUAAUACCGCAUAACGUCGCAAGACCAAAGAGGGGGACCUUCGGGCCUCUUGCCAUCGGAUGUGCCCAGAUGGGAUUAGCUAGUAGGUGGGGUAACGGCUCACCUAGGCGACGAUCCCUAGCUGGUCUGAGAGGAUGACCAGCCACACUGGAACUUAGACACGGUCCAGACUCCUACGGGAGGCAACAGUGGGGAAUAUUGCACAAUGGGCGCAAGCCUUAUGCAGCCAUGCCGCGUGUAUGAAGAAGGCCUUCGGGUUGUAAAGUACUUUCAGCGGGGGGGAAGGGAGUAAAGUUAAUACCUUUGCUCAUUGACGUUACCCGCAGAAGAAGCACCGGCUAACUCCGUG